rnacentral:lncRNA from 1 species
UUUUUUUUAGUUUGAAUAUCAGUUUGGGCUUAGUUACUUUUUAAAAUAAGGCUGUUUCAGAUAGUCUCUGCCACACUUUGCCUAGCCUGGUUAAUUGUGGGUGGACCCAUGCUACAUGUUUUGGCAUUGCCUUUUUCUUAUCUGUACCAUAUUACAAACUUCCUAGUAAUUUGACAUUCACUGCUGUCUUUGCUUUAGCUUUCCAACAGGUUUGGUGAAACAGUCCAUUGCUGUUCAAUAUCAGCUUGCAUCAGAAUUACUUGGAGGGCUUAUUGAUUAAAACACAGAUUGCUGGGCCCUGCAAAAAAAGUUUCUGAUUCAGUAGGUCUGGGGUGGAACAUAAGAAUGUGCUUUUCCCCCCACAGUUCCCAAGUACUGCUGAUGCUGCUCCUCUAGGCCCAUGCUUUCAGAAUCACAGAGCUCAUCUUACAUUCUUUUCCUGCUAGAUAUUAUGCCCAAUUAAUACAUGAAGUAAAACAGAAAAAUCCUUAACUUAAAAACAUGUAUUAAUCCAGAAGUUUGAUUAUAAAAAGGUUUGUUGAAAAUGUGAGACCAUUUUUUCUCCCAGAGAAAAAGUAUAUUAAUUGUCUAGCUGGGAGGGGCCUAUUUGAAUGUGUUUUCAGAGAAAAGCAGAAGAAAAAAAUACGGUUGUAAUAGAAGUAGUUAAAACAGAAAAGCAGUAUGGUUGUAGAGUGGGGUGGCGGGGAGGUAUAUGUGUAUUUAAUCUUGAGAACCAAUGCUUUUGGAAAACAGCCCGAAGGGACAAGAGACUAGGUAGAGACUGGCGAGGUUCCUGAAAGUCCUGGGUUACCUGUGAAAUGCCAAAGAUUUUUAAAGUUUGCUGGCAGUGGUUAUUAUAUGUAGUUUUACUUCCAAAUUUGAAGAUUUCCUCUUCUUUGAUGCAAGUGUGUUGGUAGGACCACUGAUAAUAGUUAGUGGAGAUAUUUGUGGGAAUAUAUUUUUAAUCAGAAAGAAUGCAAAAAGAGGGGGAGACAUUUCUUUGAGACACCUUAAUGACACUGGGAACAGUAGAAGGUGGAAAGAGAUCAGAGUGUGGGAAAGAUGUGCCUGAGAUGAAAUUAUCUGAAUUCUGAAUGUGGGGGAGAAGAUGAGGAGAGGGUUGAGGGGGAGGAGAGAUGACUAAGCUCCUCACAGUGUUUCAUUAACUGUCUUUUACCUAAAGGAGGAAUCUUCUUAAUGAAGAUUGGUUGAUGCAUCAUACUGGUCAUCAACUUUGUUUUUCAGUUCCAUGAAAUCAGCCUGCCUUUUCUUUUUUUGGUGAUACAUCCACAUUCUGUAUAGGUGAAAAGCAAAACAAACAAGUAUAAAACGAAAAUUAUGUAAGAAGUACACACAUCCUAGCAGCUUGGCAAGUGUCUGUAUGCUCUUGCCUGUGCCUAAAUCCAGAAUUAGAAUUCAUGCUUGGUGCUCCUGUGGAAGAUGUCUAAAUGUUAUGAGAAAUACAUGAUUAAAUAAAAAUGUGAAAUGAAAGCAUGGAGACUUGUUGAAGGUGAGUGCUGUUUUUCUAAUUAUAUAUUUUAUUUGUUUAAUGAAUAAUUUGUUAAUUUUCUUUGUCAUUACGAGAGAGCUGUUUUAUUCUGUACUUAGGUGCAUAGCAUACUAUGUUUUAGUGAGCUCCACAUGUUAAUUUGAAACUUGCCAAAUUUUUACAUUAUUUUAUAAUUUAUAGUACUUUGAGAAACAUAUUGCAAUGCAUUACAAAGCAUAUAAUGUAAAGGUAGUUUUAUGAAGUGUUUUUCUCCCAAAUUAAGCAUAUUUGGGAAUUGCCCAUCAAUUUGUUUUUGAACCUCAGUGCAUAAAAUAUAGAAUUUUUCUUUCAUAUGCUAGAUGUGAAAAAUACUCAGCAUAUGCAUGUGGUUUAGGCUACAAAAUAGCCUGUAGGUUAAAUUCCUAAUUCUAGUGUUUAAUUCAUUGCCUUUUUUCUUCUUGUUUAAUGGCCAUAUGUUUAUAUCUUUAUAUUACAUACAUUCCUGAUUAUGUAAUAAGGUCUUUGAUCAUGUGGGCUAUCAGAUUUGCCUCACUUUGUCUCUUAGAAGAAGCUAUACAUGAAACUAUGUUGUACUUAAGUGAAAAUUUGAGUAUUUUUCUUGUUUGAAUUAAUGCAGUGAAACAUUCUACUUACAGUUAGCUGUCUCCCACCCUUACAGGAAGGUACAUGCCUUCAUUUUUUAAAACACUGUAUAUUUAUUAGAAUUGUUACAGAAUUUUAGUAAAUAUAUUCUAAUCACAUAUUUUCUGAUUAAUGUGUGCUUAUCAGUUUUAAAUGUUAUGAAAUCUGGAUAUAUGUUAAAAUGUCUCAGUUUUCCCCUCUUGUUUACCAUAUUGCCAUUUGGUAUUAAUAGAUAACAUAAUGUAAAAUUGGAUGUCUUUGAUAAUUUUGGGAUAUGUUCUGAAAUUAAACUUGAACUUUUUUCUGUGAAUUUUGAAGAUUUGGUAUCUUAUAAUUAUUUGGUGAGCAUUUGGCAUGAAUUAUUUAGCUUCUCCCCUGUUUAUGAUUUAUUUCUCUUGUCAUCGAUUUCCAAUAGGAAAAUGUUAUGGUUCUAAAUGUCUCCUGUAGACUUCAGUAAUUGAAAAAUGUCAGUCAAGAUGGGGGGAAUCUGUAAUAUAUAAUAGAGUUUAUCUUUUAGUUAUGUUCAUUUCCACUUUUUUUAAUGUGUUUUUUUUUUAGUAAAUGUCAAAAGUGUUACUCAGUGCAACAUAUUAUGCAAUAUUAUAAUCAACUAACCUCUUCAUUGAUAAUGACUUCAUAUUGAGAGGUUUUUUAAAUCUAGAAAUAUUCUUGUUUUAAAUUCCAGGUUAAAAUGUAAAGGUAUUUUUAUUUUUUUAAUUUUAAUUCUUCUCAAAGCUACUAGUACAUUAUAAAACAACAAUUUCACAUUUAGAAUUUUUAUAUGUAUAUAAAUUAGGAUUAUUUUUUAAUAUUAGCCUUAACUUUCUUUAACUUUUAUGAAAAACAACUAGUCCCAAGGGUAUUUUUACUAUUUAAUAUACAUUAUUCCUGUGAUUCAAAAUCUUAGCAGUAGAACCUGUUGAGCUACUUAACUUUCUGUCUUGGGACUAUCCAGGUGCAGUUAUAACUGGUUUCAAAGUUGUGACCUUUUCCUUGCUUGUUUCAAAAUCAUUCCUUAAAAAAUGUUCAGUAUUUUUCUUUUGUCAAAAAAUAAAAACAGGAUUUGUGGGUUGUUCUGUUUUUUAAAAUUAGUUUGAGAAACUUCCUUUGCCACUUGUUUUCUGUGCAAAUGUUGUAAGAGCUCAAAUUCCCUGGGGGUAGGGAGGACUUUUAUAAGGUUUUUUUGGUUGAAGGGUAUAAAAGGCACUUAAAAGGUAUACAGUUACUUUUAUUUCGAUAUCCCAGUCAUUUUGACAUUAUGAUAAGCUUUCCCCACUUUAUAGGUUAUCUGAAAAUUUGGUGGGGGGCGGGUAUUUUAUUUAUACUUAAUAUAACAAAAUUAUUUUCCUAUGUGUAGUCAAUAGCACAUACAAAAAAUUAUCUCCUGUUUGUAGUCAGUAGCACAGUCAGUAUUCACCAAAAUACUGAGUUAUUUUUCAAGUAAAGGUAUAAGUAUGAAUGAGAAACAGUUUGUGGGUUGGGUAUUGUCAGUCCUUCUUUUUCAGAUAACUUUCUAAAUGGUCAUUCAAUCUGUAAUCUUAAACUUUUUUAAUGUUAUAAAUUCUUCAAAUCAGUAUUUGUAUUAAAUGCAGUGACCAGACUAUGUCACUGAUACAAUGUCAUGAUUAGAUGUGCAGAAGACUAUGUUACAUGGAUGAUAAAUGAACUUUUAACAUAUAGAAAUUAAUAUCAGAUUAAACUAAAACAUUAAGCAAAGUUAAUACAUGCUUGCAUACAUAUAUAUAUUUAUUUAUUAAUGAUAUGUGGAGAAUCUUUGUGCUUCAUAGUCACUAGACCUAAAGUAGAAGCAGUUGUCAAGAAUGUCCAACUGCUAUUCAUCUUUGUGGCCAAAGUAAAUUUCAGAUUUUUUUUUUGUAAUGGUUUUCUUUAGUCUCUUUAUUAACCCAUCAUCAUGACAAGUCUGUCAAGUGACACAUGUGAAAAGCAGAUGUCCUUUCUUAUUCCUGGUGCUUCCUAAGGAGGCAGUGCAAUGCAGGAGAAGGAACAUUAUUAGAGAUAAAGGAAAAAACCAGAAGUGCUUUCUCCUCUCACAUUCCACUCAACACUUCUCUCACCAAAUGUGUGUGGGGAUUUCUCUCCACCAACAACCAGCAGUUCUUUACUGCAGAUUCUCCAGUGGAUACCAGCCAGGUGUCCUCUAAUUCAGUUCAAUUCUGACAUUAUCUACUGGGAGAUAGUGUCAGAUCCCGCAAGUGGAGGGCUCAGUCCUACAAGACUACCCCUUACUUCAGAUGUCAGUCACAAGCAGUUAGCGGUUUGUGAUUCUGACCAACUGGCUAGAGGUCCCCCUCCUCAAGUGUGAUUAAUUUGCUAGAGCAGCUCACAGAAUUCAGGGAAACACUUUAUUUACAUUUACCCAUUUAUUAUAAAGGAUAUUAUGAAGGAUACACAUGAACUGCCAGAAAGACAAGGAGCAUAGGCAAGAUACUGAGAAGGGUCACGGAGCUUCUGUGCCUUCUCCAGGUGCACCACCCUCUGGGAAUAGUCAGUUCAUGUGUUCAGCUGUCUCGAAGCUCAUUCGAACCCUGUCCUUCUGAGUUUCUGUGGAGGCUUCAUUACGUUAAGGUUCAGAAAUCAAUACCCCAAAAUAUGGGGCUUUGACAUGCUGAAUUAAAGAAGCAGCCUCAAGGCCUCUUGGCCUUCUCCAGCUCUCCUCACCCAAAUCCUGUCUCUCCCAAAGCACAAGAUGAGGCUGUUCACCAAAGUUCCCUUAUUUACCUAGAAACUGGACCUUAAAGAGGAACACAGUUGCCUGCGAUUCCAUCCCUGUAAUUUUAUUAACCAGAGAUUAAAACUUAUAUCACAGAGGAAGAGACUAAAAAUUAAACACCACACCUGGAGCCCAGAUGACCUGUCCCAAUCUAUUAUCUGUUCUCCAGUCCCAUUUAGUUCCCAAAGGGAAUCAUUUACAAACCAUUGUCUGAUCUUCCGGCCCAUUUAUUUACAGCUCCCCCUCUUUCCCCAAUGAAAAUGAUACUUAAGUGUCAGCCAUCUAUCGGCUCUUUGAGUUUUCACAUUUUGUAUGACUCCUGUGCACACACAUGCAUGUAAUAACUGUUAUACUUGUUAACUUUUUUUCAUUAUAGGGGUAUCCACCAUGAUUAUAUAUGAUGGGGAGGAAAGGGAUUACUCCAUUUCUGCCCCUGCAGUCUGUAGGCAUGAUUGAUUACAUCAUUGGUCGCCGGUGAUUAACUCAGUCUCCAAGCCCUGUCGUGUCCCUGGAGGUUGGAGGGUGGCACUGAAAGCUCCAACCAUCUCAUCAUGCUUUGAUCUUUCCGAUGACCAGACCCCACCCUGAAGCUAUCUACGGGUCCCCAGCAACAUUCAUUUCGUUAUCAUACAAAUGACAUUCUUACAAUUUCAGAGAUUCCAAGGGCUUUAGGAAAUGGAGAUGAAGAGCAAAUAUAUAUUUCACAAUAUCACAAACAUACCCUUGGGAAUUAGACCUCUGAUCUAAUCUAGGCUCCCUCACUUGCCAUUUUUGUGACCUUGAACAAGUUGUUCAUCUUUUCUGGAUAGUUCUCUGUUAAAAAAAUUAAAAUAAAAAAAUGGUGGCUAUCAGGUUGUUAGGAGGACUAGAUAAGAGAACUAUGUGAAGGACCCUGCACAGUGCUAGCAACAAAGUUGUUUAGUAAGUGCUAUUUCAAUUUAUUUUGCUUCCAAGCUCAUGUGAGCUCCCUCAGUGUGUACCACCAAAUCACAUGAUGUGUAUCCCAGUCAAAUCUUAAAGGUCAUCCACCUUGAAUCUUUAAGUUAAUUAACGUGUGUUUUUAAAACUGCAUUAUAAGAACGUUAGGGUUUUUGUUUUGAUCCUAUGGAAGUUAAAUUUUUUACACAAGCAUUCAACUGUUUAGCUUCAAACUGAACAGAUAAAUAGUCUGUAUUAUUUCAUUAUGUAUUAAAAAAUGAUUAAGCCUGCCUCAGGCAGUUCAGGCAAAGCAGGUAAAAGAUUAUCAAGGAGUAACAUUAGAAAACACUAAUCAGAGUGCCUAAAAAGCUUUAUGCGGUCCAGGUUGUACAGGGAUGUUGGAACAGUAAAACAAACAAAACAUUACAAGGUAUGAAGCGUUCGAGAUAGGUAGAAUAGAGCAGGUUAUAUUAGAGAAGUCUCUUCUAAAAUUGUGUUGGCUAGCCUGGGAUUUGAACUUAUACCGUGUAUGUAUGUCCAUGUGUAACAGGUUGAACAUGCAAGAAGCAGUGUUCAUAAAAGGUGGCAAACUUGUUUUACUUGUUUCUCAGUCUUUUCAGAUCAGUACUUAUAAAACACUGAUAUUUACAGUAAAUAUCUUAUAUUAAAUAUUAGCUAACCCUAUUAAAUUGUGUGUCCUUGUGCUGCAGUCAUUUAAUGACCUCAUUCUUUGGUAAGUUGGCAUGUGAUUUGAGAUAGCUCUAAGUGCUAAUGGAUUGUUUGAAGGAGUUAAAGGCAAAACCAGGAAGAGAAAACUAUUUUUAGGAAAAAGCGAUCAUACAACAGGCCUUAAAUAGAAGAAAUGAGAUAUCUCUAUCUUUACUAUGUAACCUUUAAUUCCUUACACAUUUUGACUUCAUAUUUUUUGUAUGUAAAUGAGAAUGUUAUAGUCUUGUAAAUUCCUUUUCCUCUGUGACUACAUUCAGUUAUUUAUUUUAUUGUGUGUUUGUGCAUGUCGGUAGAGCACAGUAUUUAGUAGAAUGAGUUAUUGGUUAAACCACCUGGAUUCAUUUGUAAAAUGGGGCCACCUGUCUCUUAAAUUGUAAUGAGGAUUUGAUUAGAUAAUCUAGAUAAAUCACUUAGCACAAGAGUCUCCAGCCCCCGGACUCUUGACUGGUACUGGUCUGUGGCCUGUUAGGCACUGGGCUGCACAGCAGGAGGUGAGCAGGGAGCAAGCUAGCACUAGGGCCCAAGCUCCGCCUCCUGUCGGAUCAGUGGCAGCAUUAGAUACUCAUAGGAGCACAGACCCUGUUGUGAACUGUGCGUGUGAGGGAUCUAGGUUUCGUGCUCCUUACAAGAAUCUAAUUAAUGCCCGAUGAGUUGAGGUGGAACAGUUUCUUCCCAAAACCGUCUCAGGAAACCUGUCCCUGGUGCCAAAAUUUGGGGGACCUCUGACGUAGCACACUAUCUGGCACAUACCAAGCACUCAGAAAAUAUCCCAUUUCUCAAAACUCAGUUCCAGUGUCAAGUCUUAAUAGUAUAUUGAUCUUGGAACUCCAAGGUAGUUGGUCCUCUCUUUGUGCCAUAAAUGUGCCUUGUACUCAGUAGUGCUAAAUUGCUAUCAACUAGUGCUAAAUGUACUACUAAUUCAUCUGUGUGUCCACUUCCCUUCUUAGAUUGUGAGCCCCUUGAGGACAGAGAUGGGUUUACUCAUAUUUAUAAAUUCAUUGGCAUGAUAAAUAUUUGCUGAAAGAAUAAAAUUGUAUUCUUAUGUUUUAAGCAGGGUCCCCUCCACCUCUGAGUGGAAGAUGGUCUGGGAGCAAAGGUGACAGGUCUUCUAAAAAAUCUGGCCACAUUCUCAACCCACCACACCCCCGCUUUUUUAAACAGCUAUUUAAUUGCCAUUGUAAUCCUAAGGAUUGGAUCAAUUUUUCACUUCCCUUUUUCACACUUUUUUCCUUUUACUAAGAAAAUAAAGUAAUAAAGUGACUGCCAAAUGGAGAAAACUGUCCACUAAAUAUGAAUUAAUAAGUGCUAUUAUCAGAAAUUGUGUAAAAGCAACAUAAUGGCACUAUAAAAAGGUAUUAUCUUAGAAUCAAAAACCUUGGGUUUAUAUUAUAGCCCUGCUACUUUCUAGUCAUAUGACAGUGAUCAAGCUAUAUUACCUCUUUGGCUUGACAAAAUAGGGGUCAUCUCUAUUUCUGGCUUGUUAUGAUUGAUGUGAAAUAUUCAUACAAACUACCACUGUGCCUGGUAAGUAGAAGACACUCAAAUAUGUCUUGGAGUUACAGUUAAUACUGUAUCGUUUAAAUUUGAGAAAAACCAACUUUAAAAAAUCACAUAGAUACAGUUGUUUACUGCUAGAAAUUUUAUUUAAAUUAGUUGAUACUCUUGGUUAGGUAAUGAAAAACAAUGGUUUUAUCUCCAUUAUGCUGUGAUAGGGAAGAGUAACACAGUUCAAAUGGCAAAGGCAUACCUGACAAUUAAAAUGCAUAGUUAAAGGCUAAUACUUCCUGAACACAAGAAGACAAGUCUCUACUUGAUACUACUCUCCACAGUUAAAUCAUUGAUACUUUGUGCCAUACAGUGAAAACAGAACCAUCUAGGUGUUCACGGAUUGUAUUUUUCCUUAUGAAAGGUAGAAGGUUAGAGAAAAUUAUUCCCAAUACAAUUAAUACAAAUAAAAUUGGUUAUUAGGUGCCUUUUAAUUAGGCAGUAAGGGCAUAUGAAGCUUCAUUACCUAUGAGAAUUUUGUCAAAAUUAUUUCCCAGUUACCAUGUUUUAAAACAGCCUCUCAGAAUUCCCCACUUCUAAUUUCUCCUUUCUAUUCUACCAAUUUUACUCCAUACCUUUUUGCUAAAUAAACAUUUUCUUCCAACUCUGA